rnacentral:sRNA from 1 species
AGCGCCUCUGCGUUCUGAUUCUAUGGAACCUUUUUGUAGGGAGAAGGGCAGGAUGUUUUUAACUGAAUGUGACCUCACGGGAAUACUAGAGAAAAUAAUAAAAUUUCUGAAUGGGGCAGCGUGGAGAAAUCCUAAGAGAAAUAGCAUAAGAGCAUUUUGGAACACAUCCAGGAAAAGAUAACUUUCGACACACCUGUAGACGUUCGCCAGGUAAAGCUAAUUGACUAGUGACUAAAAUGAUGGCAAAUAAGGCAAUAUAAUAUGGACAGCCUGCAAAUCCCACUCAUGGAGCUCUGUAAGUGGGAGCAGAUUGCUGUCUGAGUACAGGGCUUCUGCAGAAGUCUCCCUAUCAACUCCACGUCGAACUCAAAGUCUAGAGAGCUUCAACAAUUAAUGAUAUGUCAUCUGGAUCCAGUCAUAAAAGCAUGAUGACCACCCCUUCCCCCACCCCUCACCAUUCCUUUCUCCUUGGAUUUGUUAUAUUUCAUUCUGUUCAAUGUA